AACAACUACAAUACAAUCAGAUAUCUCUGAAACACUUGAAGCUAAUUGAUCGAUCAAUUUUUUUUCCUUCACAGUUUUUUUGAAUAGACGAAAACGGUCUGCUUAUAUUAAGUCCUUUUUUUUGUGAAACAAAACAGAGUCAAUCGACACCGAGAAAAUAUGAGAGGGUAACGAAAUAAAUUGCUAUAAAGAGAUAACGCAUCAAAGUCUAAAUAUAAGACUGAAGAAAGGCUCAGAAUAAAAUUAGCUCAAGGUACGCGAAAUCAAAGUACGAUAAUAGAUACGACUCGAUCGCGGAUGUUUGUAUGCAAAUUCGUAUUAUUUAUGGGUAUAACCGUGACUGGGAUGGAAUUUAGUAGAUUUGUUUGUCAUCGAGUAUUAUAACGAGAGCUGUGUAAUUUGAAUAUUACAAAAAACGCAUAAAGAGCUCGAUGCAUGAUACAUUAAACUAAUCUCUGGAAUAUCAUUGCGGAAGUAUUCUCUAUAAAUCGUGCCAAGCCAACGAGUUAUACUGAUCCAUGUCACUAUGCAUUCCGCGUACGAACGUCCUUCCACGUAUCUUUCUUUUCCCCCCUUGUCAGUUUCUUUCUCUUUCAUUGUCGUCGCUUUGGUGACUAAAAUGUCAAGUUACGUGUUCGCCAGACACGGCGAACAUUACACGUACACGGGCAUUAUGCGUCGCAAGUUCUCGAAAUCGAAACACUUUCUCUUUUCACCGGCUGGCGUACGACGAAUUUUCUGACCAACUGCGCGCUGUUGUCACUGUUAGCUCGCGCUAAUUAUCGAGCGUGUAUAUAAGAUGCACGAAUGCGCUUAGAAAAGCGUUAACUAGAAUACCUGGACCGGUUUCGAGAGCAGCCGCGUGGUGGAAACCUGUUAUAUAUCGAUCGAGUGCAAAUGGAAGGAAAUAAGAAUAAUCAAAUUACGAUCGUGGCAAUAAAUACUGUGAUUCGGCGGCUGUUGGCUAGAUCGCAACCCCUUUCUCGAGGAGUUGCGCUAAUACCAGUUCCCUCCUGUAAUUUCCCUUAUAUAAGAAUAUGAAACUACUGGUCGCAGUGUAACGUAACCGUGCGUACGAGUAAUGUCGAAUUGAACGAAAAUAAAUAUUCAGGAUAACAGGAUCCUGUAAGCGCUGGCUGAGAAAAGUGAAAGAGAUUUUUCAUUCGAGUCUGUCGAGUAGACGUAACACUUCGUUCUGUGUAAAAGUUAUGCUGUAUUAUUGGAAAUAGUGGGAGUAAGGAUGUUAGUAAGUGUUAUUAUGUAAAACCGAGGAAGAUUUUUUAUUUAUUUUUGUUAGGAGGAAUAUUUUUGUCAGAUCUCUCUCACGUUAUUAACGUGAGAAUCUUAUGAAUCGACGUUUCGGCUAAUUUCAUAAAUUUUAAUAAAAUUUUUAUGAAACAUUCUAUGCUCGUAAACGUUUCAGAAUUCUUGCGAUAUAGAAGAAUUUAUUAACGUAUAAAAUAUGUAUUAAUGGUUGUAGGAAGUGAGAGUAUGGUAUGCUGUCCAGUUUAUCUUGGAAUUCUAAUGAAACUUACAGCGAGUGUUGCAGUACGAUAACAUUCUUAACAAAGACUGACUAAGACAAGAACGACCGAGAUUUUGAUGAUGGAAAAUUGGAUUUGGAAAAUUUCUUUUAUUUCUUUUAUAUUUUACACUAGCUGGUAACAAACGAAUAUAAAUUGACUAUUAGAUUUCACUUUUCAGCAGUAAUAUCGAAGAAUUUCGUUUGGGUUCCUAUUAAAAAUUGAAAGUAUCACACUGCAAUCACUGAAAACGAUCGUGAAAGAAUUGAGAAACGUUACGAAUUACUCGGAUCUAACAAAAAUAGAAAGUAGACUAUACAGAUAUACAUAUAGUACACGUAGAGAAAUGAAAAUGUUCAAAAUCUUGAUGGAUUAUCUCGACGCAGUUUGAAAACGCUGAAAUCUUAAAAGACAACCUUAAAUCAACCUAAAAAUCUGCUAAAAUUCUCAGAAAACAAAGAUCAAGCAGAGGCAGAAACGUUUUUAUAGAAAUUCGCCAGCAACUUGAGAAUGUUCUUAAUUAGCAGAUUCCAUCAGAAAUGUCAGAAGUGUUUCAAUGUCCUGUCACAAAAUUGGCAAGGUGAAAGAGGAAAGGAAGUGGGAAUCGUGUCGGGCGAAGUAGAUCCAGUAUCGAGCCGGAACGCUAUAUCCUCCUCUUUGGUUCUAGUCUGCAGGAAUGCACCGGUCUCGUCGGAGAGUGAGAGAACAAGAGAGAGAGAGAGAGAGAGAGAGAGAGAGGGGAGAGACAGGCGGAUCGAGUGGAUUGUUUCUUACGAGAUUGCACUUCGUUCCAACUGGCGGCACGCACCUAGAUAUUACCAGGGAGCAUACUACGAAAAAUCUAUUCGACUUUCUUGCCCCGAGCACUUUCACUCGGUCCGUUUGGCAAUGUAACCGUUAAUUUUCGGCCCCCGUGGCCGAAUAUCGUUGAGAAAUGCGUUCAAGAUCUGUUACAAUUUCUCUCCUCCCCCCCUGAUUUCUUUUGCCGAUACAUACAUACAUACUCGCUCGUUCAUUCACUCCCUCGUGAACACUUUCACUCGCUUCCUUCAAACGAUCUUUCUUCGUUCGUUAUCGUUCGAUCUCUCAUUUCCCUCGGUUUCGCGAUGGGUGCCACGUUUUCGAGAAACGCGCGUAAGAAAUUGAAGCGCUUCCAAGUUGAAAUUGAAGCGCGUCAAGUUGACAAAUACAAUUCUCUGUUCUUAAUUAGCUUAACUAGCUUUUAGCUGGGAAGAACAGGUUGUGUACGUACUUUGUACGUACGAAGACUAAGAUUCGUUCAACGAGGAUUAAUUUCUCUUUAGCAGUAUUAAUUUUAUAAUUGUAGGGGUAUAAUUUUGGUUAAGCAAUGACCCGGUUAACAGGUUAAUUGAAACGUGGGUGGUACUGUUGAUGCUUGGACUCUAAUUACAUAAAGAUUGAUAAAUAUAUAUAUAAGAGCAUAACCGGUCGAAACAGAAAGCUUUCCGGCUCAAAUGUAUUUAGGAACGUGGAUAAGCUGGCAGGGCUGAUCGAAAGGAAUGUCAAGUAUAAAGGAAACACUAUACAUUCGUGGAGAACGUAACGAGGAUGAAAUAUGGGACGACGAUUCAAAUUCAAACCUCUCUGUUUCCAAACUUCUAUUCCAUCAUUAGUGAAAGGACGUAGGUCUUUGGAACUUUUAAUCCCACUACGGUCCAUUGAACGUCAUGACUUUGACUAAUGCUAGUUUCCCAGCUCUCUAAUACACGAACAAUUUACAUGAAAGACGAUCAAGGCAAUCCUUCUCAAUCACAUAAAUUCUUAUUGGAAUUUAUAAAAACAAACCGGAGAAGCGAGAGGUGAAAACGACGAUUGUGGAGAAAAAAAAGAGUUAAGGGUUGAUUCGACAAAAUGGCGGACAACGCGCGGGGCCAAAAUAUAUCGUCGGAUCUUUAAUGGAUGCCAAAAAAAGAAAAAAGAAAAAAAAAAAAAAAAGGGCUGAAAGGAAAAAAAGUAAUUUUGGCUACUCACGAUC